CGGACGGGUGAGUAACGCGUGGGUAACCUGCCCUGUACAGGGGGAUAACAAGUCAGAAAUGACUGCUAAUACCGCAUAAGACCACAGCACCGCAUGGUGCAGGGGUAAAAACUCCGGUGGUACAGGAUGGACCCGCGUCUGAUUAGCUGGUUGGUGAGGUAACGGCUCACCAAGGCGACGAUCAGUAGCCGGCUUGAGAGAGUGAACGGCCACAUUGGGACUGAGACACGGCCCAAACUCCUACGGGAGGCAGCAUG
rnacentral:rRNA from 1 species